UGACAUCCCAGGUUUGGGGCACAACACCUUAGGCGAAUCCCACAUCGGCUACGCACAAGGUGAAAGUCCUAUACAUAAAGAGGGGUGGUCUCAGAACAUGGUAGGCGCCUUUUGGGUUGGCAGAGCGGAGGUUUCCCUGGCCCAAAGGGACAAAACCGUGAGGGUGACCUCGUACGGAAGGGCCCAAAGCGGACAAUACUUACCAUGGGCUGGACCAUGACAAUUUGGUAUCAGAGCCAAGCCUUGUCCCUCUGGCCGGUGGUGGGGCAAACCUCAGCGAGGACGCUGAGUCCCUAAGGGGGGGUGUAUGUGACAUCCCAGGUUUGGGGCACAACACCUUAGGCGAAUCCCACAUCGGCUACGCACAAGGUGAAAGUCCUAUACAUAAAGAGGGGUGGUCUCAGAACAUGGUAGGC
rnacentral:lncRNA from 1 species